rnacentral:lncRNA from 1 species
AUGCUGUUUUCCAAUGUUUGUCUUUCCUUCCCUCCUCCCUUUUCAAACUCUUUGGGCCAAAGCAGACAGGAAAAAAUGGAAAUUGCAAAUCAGCCCUUGGAUCAUCCAGACGCAACCAAGCGGGACGGUUCGAGCGACAAUGAUCUGGAGAAUAAAGAUGAGAAAGAUCUUAAGCGGUUGAUUAUUCACCUGAGAGCCGAACUCAAAGAGCUUGCCCAAGUCAAUAAAUCCCAGAAGCGGCAACUUGAGUCACAAUCCACUGCGGCUGAAGGCGAAGGGCUCGAUCCCAAACCUGUGCCGCAGGUUAACACAGAGGUGGAAUUGUCCAAAGUGGAAGUCAAAGACACCGCGACACAGACGGCGGUGGCGGAAGGGAGCGUCGGGAGGCUCAGACACGAAGGCGAGAUCGCAACCUGGGGCGAUAAAGCGAAGUCGUCCCGAUUAAACGAAGAACGGCGGCAGAAGAGAGUCUCCACGAAGAGCAAGCAGCAGGAGAACCCCCUACGCUCGAGUAGAACAAACAAAAGCGAUCAUUGCCCCUCGUUCAAGAAAUCCCGCCUGCCCAUCCGACUGAAGCCCUCGAGGUCCUUGGGAAGCCUUUCCUCGGGUUCCUUCCCUCUGAAGCCAGACGUGCGCCUCCAGCAUCGCGUGUUCAACCUGGAUGAAGAUCUGAAAGGGCCGUGCGUCACGCAGCAGCCCCAGCCGCCUUGCGCACGACACCCCAGCGAAGCGGAAAGCUGGACGCAAGAGCUGGAUCGAAUGUUAGCGGGAGCCGAAUCGUUGAUCACGCUGGAUGGCUCCGAAGUGGAUACCUUCAUCAGUACUGAAUGCAAAGAGUCUGAGAAGGAUCCAAGCACAUGCCAAGAAACUGAAAUGACCAAAAUGGAGCCGGAUGUGUCGACUUCGAAAGAGCUCCAUCAAGAGGAAUUCAACCUCUGGAGUAAGCAGGAUGGAGAUAUGGCUACGACUGCAAGCGUGCUCUCCCUCAAGCUGAGUGGCACAACCCUUGAGAUGUUGGACUUCGAUGACGUUGAUGACGUCAAGCAGCUGAGGCAAAGAAUUAAAGAUCUGACGACCGAACUGGCAAAAUACCAUACAUUGAUGACCUGCUUUCCGGUCUCUGCUGAGCCACCCCCUCCCAGCUUUCACUCGAGCGCCGUCCAGAGCCACGAGGAGCUGCCCGCUGACGGUCACCUUCCUCCAACGCUGGAGGGCCAGAAGCCGGAGUCACAAGCUUUCACGGAGGCCCCCCAGCGAGUGGAAUAUGGUGUCCAGGUGGACGAUCUCUCUUCCCGCCUCUUAGAGGAACAGAACGAAGCAAUGGUGGAGAAGCUGAAGGAACUGCUCUCGGAAAACGAGGCCGAACUCGAGAAAGAGCAGAUCGCCAACAUGCACCUCCUGGACAAAGUAUACCGCCUUCAGAAGAAGCUCAAAGAAGUUUCACCGGAGGGGUAA